GACGAACGCUGGCGGCGUGCUUAACACAUGCAAGUCGAACGCUGAAGACCUGGCUUUUGUUGGGUUGGAUGAGUGGCGAACGGGUGAGUAACACGUGAGUAACCUGCCCUCUUCUUUGGGAUAACGCCCGGAAACGGGUGCUAAUACGGGAUAUUCACUGGCCUUCGCAUGGGGGUUGGUGGAAAGGUUUGUUCUGGUGGGGGAUGGGCUCGCGGCCUAUCAGCUUGUUGGUGGGGUGAUGGCCUACCAAGGCUUUGACGGGUAGCCGGCCUGAGAGGGUGACCGGUCACAUUGGGACUGAGAUACGGCCCAGACUCCUACGGGAGGCAGCAGUGGGGAAUAUUGCACAAUGGGCGAAAGCCUGAUGCAGCGACGCCGCGUGAGGGAUGGAGGCCUUCGGGUUGUAAACCUCUUUCGCUCAUGGUCAAGCCGCAACUGUGGGUUGUGGUGAGGGUAGUGGGUAAAGAAGCGCCGGCUAACUACGUG
rnacentral:rRNA from 1 species